CCUACGGGGGGCAGCAGUCGAGAAUCAUUCACAAUGGGGGAAACCCUGAUGGUGCGACGCCGCGUGGGGGAAUGAAGGUCUUCGGAUUGUAAACACCUGUCAUGUGGGAGCAAAUUAAAAAGAUAGUACCACAAGAGGAAGAGACGGCUAACUCUGUGCCAGCAGCCGCGGGAAUACAGAGGUCUCACGCGUUAUUAGGAAUCACUGGGCGUAAAGCGUACGUAGGCGGUUUCGUAAGUCGUGUGUGAAAGGCGCGGGCUCAACCCGCGGACGGCACAUGAUACUGCGAGACUAGAGUAAUGGAGGGGGAACCGGAAUUCUCGGUGUAGCAGUGAAAUGCGUAGAUAUCGAGAGGAACACUCGUGGCGAAGGCGGGUUCCUGGACAUUAACUGACGCUGAGGCACGAAGGCCAGGGGAGCGAAAGGGAUUAGAUACCCGAGUAGUC
rnacentral:rRNA from 1 species